rnacentral:rRNA from 1 species
GUAGUUAGCCGGGGCUUCCUCCUUGGCUACCGUCACUUUCUUCGUCACCAAGGACAGAGGUUUACAAUCCGAAGACCUUCUUCCCUCACGCGGCGUUGCUGGGUCAGGCUUGCGCCCAUUGCCCAAUAUUCCCCACUGCUGCCUCCCGUAGGAGUCUGGACCGUGUCUCAGUUCCAGUGUGGCCGAUCAGCCUCUCAGCUCGGCUACCCAUCGUUGGCUAGGUGGGCCGUUACCCCGCUACUACCUAAUGGGACGCGAACCCCUCCUUCUGCGGAUUGCUCCUUUGACCCCUGAGCCAUGCGACUCUGUGGUCUUAUGCGGUAUUAGCACUUGUUUCCAGGUGUUAUCCCCCUCAAAAGGGCAGGUUGUUCACGCGUUACUCACCCGUUCGCCACUAGCUAUAAACUCCGAAAACCUAUAGCCCGUUCGACUUGCAUGUGUUAGGCACGCCGCCAGCGUUCGUCCUGAGCCAGGAUCAAACUCUGA